UACAUAGGGGGCAAGCGUUAUCCGGAAUUAUUGGAUGUAAAGGGUGCGUAGACGGGUGUUUAAGUUGGUUGUGAAAUCCCUCGGCUCAACUGAGGAACUGCAACCAAAACUGGAUAUCUUGAGUGUCGGAGAGGAAAGUGGAAUUCCUAGUGUAGCGGUGAAAUGCGUAGAUAUUAGGAGGAACACCAGUGGCGAAGGCGACUUUCUGGACGAUAACUGACGUUGAGGCA
rnacentral:rRNA from 1 species